GAUGAACGCUGGCGGCGUGCCUAAUACAUGCAAGUCGAGCGAACAGACGAUGAGCUUGCUCCUCUGACGUGAGCGGCGGACGGGUGAGUAACACGUGGAUAACCUACCUAUCUUACUGGGAUAACUUCGGGAAACCGGAUCUAAUACCGGAGAAUAUAUUGAACCGCAUGGUUCAAUGGUGAAAGUCGGUGGUUCUGGCUGGUAUAGAUGGUUCCGCGCCUAAUGAGCUAGUUGGGAAGGUAACGGUUUACCACGGCAACGAUGCGUAGCCGACCUGGGAGCUGAGACACGCUCAAGACUCCUGCGGGAGGCAGCAGUCGGGAAUCUUACGCAAUGGGCGAAAGCAUGACGGAGCAACGCGGCGUGAGUGAUGACGGUGUUCGGAUCGUGAAACUCUGUUAUGGGUGAAGAACAGCUGUGUACGUAAAUGUGCAGGUCUUGACGGUACCUGAUAAGAAAGCCACGGCUAACUACGUG
rnacentral:rRNA from 1 species